GGAGGGAUGCCAGAGCGGUCGAAUGGGCCACCCUGGAAAGGUGGUAUAUCGGAAACGGUAUCGCGAGUUCGAAUCUCGCUCCCUCCGCCU
rnacentral:tRNA from 1 species